rnacentral:snRNA from 1 species
GAAUGUGAGGUGAUCUGGCUGCGAAAUCUGUCACCCCACUUAUCACCAGGGUUGAUUCGACCAAUCUGGCUGGCUAGGCAGGUGCCCCCUUCCUCACCACUCCAUGUGUGUCCCUCCUGAAGCUGCACAUUCAGUGGAAGAGGAUGACGUCCCAGAUAUAGAAGGAAUGUACCGAGGUCUCCAGCCUUCAGUCCCAGAUAUACAAUACCUGCACUCCCCUGCUAGAACCUCCAAACAAGCUCAAGGGUUGUUGUUGAGUGCAUUAGAGCCAUCUCCAUUACUGUUUCGCUGGCCAAAAGCAGCUCUCU